rnacentral:rRNA from 1 species
GUGGGGAAUCUUGCGCAAUGGGCGAAAGCCUGACGCAGCCAUGCCGCGUGGAUGAUGAAGGUCUUAGGAUUGUAAAAUCCUUUCACCGGUGAAGAUAAUGACUGUAGCCGGAGAAGAAGCCCCGGCUAACUUCGUGCCAGCAGCCGCGGUAAUACGAAGGGGGCUAGCGUUGCUCGGAUUUACUGGGCGUAAAGGGCGCGUAGGCGGACAUUUAAGUCAGGGUGAAAUCCCGGGGCUCAACCUCGGAACUGCCUUUGAUACUGGGUGUCUUGAGUAUGAGAGAGGUGUGUGGAACUCCGAGUGUAGAGGUGAAAUUCGUAGAUAUUCGGAAGAACACCAGUGGCGAAGGCGACACACUGGCUCAUUACUGACGCUGAGGCGCGAAAGCGUGGGGAGCAAACAGGAUUAGAAACCCGGGUAGUCC